GUGCUCACUUUGGCAGCACAUAUAUUAAAAUAGGAAAAAUACAGAGAAGAUUUGCAUGGCCCCUGUGCAAGGAUGACAGAAAAAUUCGUGAAGUGUUCCAUAUUUUU
ensembl:snRNA U6 U6 spliceosomal RNA